rnacentral:rRNA from 1 species
UAGGGAAUCUUCCACAAUGGACGCAAGUCUGAUGGAGCAACACCGCGUGAGUGAAGAAGGUCUUCGGAUCGUAAAACUCUGUUGUUAGAGAAGAACACGAGUGAGAGUAACUGUUCAUUCGAUGACGGUAUCUAACCAGCAAGUCGCGGCUAACUACGUGCCAG